rnacentral:misc_RNA from 1 species
AUUACCCAAGUUUGAGGUAAUU